ACUCCUACGGGAGGCAGCAGUGGGGAAUAUUGCACAAUGGGCGAAAGCCUGAUGCAGCGACGCCGCGUGAGGGAUGACGGCCUUCGGGUUGUAAACCUCUUUCAGUAGGGAAGAAGCGAAAGUGACGGUACCUGCAGAAGAAGCGCCGGCUAACUACGUGCCAGCAGCCGCGGUAAUACGUAGGGCGCAAGCGUUAUCCGGAAUUAUUGGGCGUAAAGAGCUCGUAGGCGGUUUGUCGCGUCUGCCGUGAAAGUCCGGGGCUCAACUCCGGAUCUGCGGUGGGUACGGGCAGACUAGAGUGAUGUAGGGGAGACUGGAAUUCCUGGUGUAGCGGUGAAAUGCGCAGAUAUCAGGAGGAACACCGAUGGCGAAGGCAGGUCUCUGGGCAUUAACUGACGCUGAGGAGCGAAAGCAUGGGGAGCGAACAGGAUUAGAUACCCUGGUAG
rnacentral:rRNA from 1 species